CUGUCAGAUGUGGGGUUGGUUAAG
rnacentral:piRNA from 1 species